rnacentral:tRNA from 1 species
GUCAGGAUGGCCGAGUGGUCUAAGGCGCCAGACUCAAGUUUUGGUUUUCGUGAGAGGGCGUGGGUUCAAAUCCCACUUCUGACA